rnacentral:rRNA from 1 species
GUUCGGAUUGCAGGCUGCAACUCGCCUGCAUGAAGCUGGAAUUGCUAGUAAUCGCGGAUCAGCAAGCCGCGGUGAAUACGUUCCCGGGCCUUGUACACACCGCCCGUCACACCAUGAGAGUCGGGAACACCCGAAGUCCGUAGCCUAACCGCAAGGGGGCGCGGCCGAAGGUGGGUUCGAUAAUUGGGGUGAAGUCGUAACAAGGUAAC